GAUGAACGCUAGCGGCAGGCCUAAUACAUGCAAGUCGAACGAGAUUGUUGUAGCAAUAUGACAUGAAAGUGGCGCACGGGUGCGUAACACGUAUGCAAUCUCCCUCUAAUUGGAGACUAGCUUCGAGAAAUCGGAAUUAAUACUCCAUAACAUUAUCGAAUGGCAUCAUUUGAUAAUCAAACUUCCGGGGAUUAGAGAUGAGCAUGCGCAACAUUAGCUAGUUGGUAAGGUAACGGCUUACCAAGGCUACGAUGUUUAGGGGGUCUGAGAGGAUGAUCCACCACACUGGUACUGAGACACGGACCAGACUCCUACGGGAGGCAGCAGUAGGGAAUAUUGGGCAAUGGAGGAAACGCUGACCCAGCCAUGCCGCGUGCAGGAUGACGGCCCUCUGGGUUGUAAACUGCUUUUAUACGGGAAGAAAAAAUACUACGUGUAGUAUACUGACGGUACCGUAAGAAUAAGGAUCGGCUAACUCCGUGCCAGCCGCCGCGGUAAGAC
rnacentral:rRNA from 1 species